UAAUCGGUAGGUAUUUGAACUGUAUUGUGCACCUUACAUAAGUAAAAGCACUAAAAAAGGAGUAA
rnacentral:ncRNA from 1 species